GUAGCGCAGCUUGGUAGCGUAUCUGGUUUGGGACCAGGUGGUCGAAGGUUCAAAUCCUUUC
rnacentral:tRNA from 1 species